UGAGACGUUUUAGGUGGCUAAUAAGCAAACAAAAGCAAAGUGCUUCCAUACAUUUUAUUAUUAUUUGUUCAAGUGUAAAACAAAGUAUCUGACCGAUAUUGGUAUCGGCAUAUAGCCCAAGCUGCGGUAUCAAUAUCGGAAGUGAAAAGAUGGAAUCGGGACAUCCCUAAUUUGAUCACUUUCUAAAUAUAGUCAAUAACCACACAAACAGCAUAUUUAUUUAAUUUCAUUUAUUUGCUAAUCUUACUUCACUUUUUCUUCAACUUGUAUUUUUUUUUACAACGACUUAAAAUGAUAAUUCCCCCAUAAUUGCCUAAUAAGGAUAACAUCUUCCACGGGUAUUUCAAAAAUAUCAUACAGUAGUAACCAAUACUGUUAUAAUUUAUACAUGUAUCUCUCAAAAUAAGAAUAAUCUUCAGCUUUACAAUUUCAUUUUCUACAAUAUUCCUUCCCCCCGAUCUCUCCCGUGUCCCGACUGCCGAGCCAUGCACUGCUGUGUGCCUUGAUGUCAGUGCCCUUGAGCCAAGUGUACGAGAACGGCGGUUGCGAGCGCGAGAGCAGAAAGUUCAGAAAAAGGUAUUUACACCGUGGAGCUGUUGUGAGACAAAGUACGUGGUUUGUUUUUUUAAUUCUUGAUGACGGUAGGAUCGAGACACGGGUUCAGUGUUGAGACUAGCGGGCCAGUUCUUCAGGUUCCAUUAAAUAAAAAUAUAAACAUAAACGCUGUCCGUUGAUCGCCGAUCAAAAAAAGCUAAACUGAUUGGAUGAGAAGUCAAACCGUCUUUGGUGGUUCUUUCUGCAGGGGGCGUUAGUGCUCGUUAAAGUGCAUUUAUUACAUAACUCGUUAACUGUGAGAUACCUGGUUAACUGUUACAGAACUAGUUAACUGUUUUAGAGAACUCGUUAACUGCCUUAGUCGUCCUGAAGGGAAUGUCGUAGUGUUGCAGACACCAAGGUGGGAAUGGGAUAGGUUGUUUUUUUUACCAUCUCGUUCUCCUGAUCUCAAAAAAAAGAAAGAAAUGAGUCGGACCAAUCGGAAAGCUCAGUUUGGAUGUUGGAAUCUUUGUCAUCUGAAGAUGAUUGGCCUCCGUACAGGAAGUGACCUCAGAGGGAAGACAAGGCUCAUAUCUACAAGAAAAUAAUAAUAGCAAGAUUCGCGAUAUCCAAUCCAAGUCAAACUCAUACGAGAUAACAUCAACAUACAGAACAGUAUCAUACAUCAUAUAUUGUAAUGUAUCCAAUAGACUACAACUUUGCUAGAAAAUACUUCUUAAAUCAAUAACAGGGUUUUUUUUAAACAUAGAAGAUUUUUCUUUCAGUAUUACCCUUCAAAAACAAAAAUGAAAAAAAGACCACAGAAUAUUUACAGAUUAGUUUGGUGAGUUAAAUACGUGUUUUGGUGAGUUAACUACAGAUAAUGGAACUGUUAGCUUGUGUCCACACAACAUGCUACAAUUCAGGCAACCAUUGUCCACCGAGAGACGAGAAAGACCACUCUGUCGUUACAUCACCUCGACUAUAAAAAUACCUAGGAUCUACAGACGGGUAGAAAACUAUACAUGUACAAGUCCUUUGAAGCCAAGGCAUUCUCCCCCCCAGAGCCACAGGUGAGCUGUACAGGCGAGCAACGGUAGAGAUUUACAGGUGGGCUUGACAGGCGAGAUUUGGUGAAAACAAAACAACGUUGAAUGCAGUGACGGUGAAGAGCUUCAGGCAGUAUGGAAACGAUCUCCCCCGCUUCAAUGGUGUGGAGACCCCCGUGUACAGUCCAGAGACGAGGCUGCGGAUAGCGUUCAGCUUCUGUCAAAGAUAAGUAAUUUUUUAAGUCCAGAGACCUAAUAAGGAUCCUUCUCUCCCUCCAGAAGGGGUGAUGGAAACAAGCCGGAGUCAUGAGGGUUCCUGUUCCUCCCUGGUGUAGCUGGGCCCGCUCUGGUCUGAUCCAGGGCUCUGGUGGAGUUAUUGCAAGCCAAGUGUGGCUUUAGGUAGUCCUUCUCAUCAUGUCCUUUAGUGGGCUGGCCUCCCCCUAACAUCCCAUAAUAAUACCAGCGCAUCCCCACCAGUUCAUCGGCCCCCGGAGACAACAGCACAGUGAUGAAGGAGAGGGAAAUACUCUGGCAGAGUGUUUCAGACAGAAGCCAGUAUUUGUGUGUUUCUGUGUCAGCACAGCUGUGGUGCCGUCCAGUCUCGCUGCGUUCUGAGCCUCUUUUAGUCCAUUUCCCCGUUUCAAAUUUAACAUUUGACCCCUUGCAAAGAAGUGUCCCUUUUAGACAAAUCAAAACACACGUGUGAUAAAUUCAGAGUGCAAAGUACAUUUGAUUGUGAAACUUCAUAAACAUCAAUAACCUUAUGAACAUAAAUGAUCAGUAUUGUUCUCCCCACGGUGGCUCAAUGAACUCUCUGACACUGUCACUCAGGAGAACACUGGAGAUCAGGUGGGCUGUUCUAGAAAAUAAAAAAUACACUUCCCAGACUCAACCUCUGUUCCCGUCGUUAAACUUGACAUAGGCGCUCGCUAUUAAAUCACCCCCUCUUUAUACAUUCUUACACCACUUGGAAAUAUAAUUUAAGUUAUUUUACAGUUAGUUCAUGGUUGGGUUACUGCUAGCGCCUGGGAAUGCAGGGCAUGAUGGGAAAUGAAGUCUUGGUGUCCAACCCACCUGAGGCCCAGGACUCGUGUCAUAGCAAAACAAAUGCACAGAAAGGAGCAGGAUCAUAAGCCACCUGGGUCCUUCACUAUAACUUAUUACUUCACCAGACCCUGUCAAAGCCUUUGAGCAAACAACAAAAAGAGGAAAAUAAUAAGAAAACACUGCACACACACACACACACACACACACACACACACACACACACACACACACACACACACACACACACACACACACACACACACACACACACACACACACACACACACACACACACACACACACACACGGGUGUCCUUGUGGGUUCCACCCAUGGAAACGCCCCCUAUCCUUCAUGGAGAGGCGCUGCAGACCAACAGAGACCUGCUUGGGGUGGGUCUCCUGGCCAGCGCAUCAGAGGACUCAUCUCUCAGCCCUGUUUAGGGGACCCUCCCCAGCCCCACCACCCCAGGGGACCAGCAGCACGCUGGGGUCAGAUAUUCUACCUCUGGGCCAAUCGUGGGGAUUCGUGUUAAAGGUCUUCAUGGGGUCGGACAGCAGAACGAUGCGUCCCUUUAGAACCAGGACAUGACGUCAAGACAGGAACACGGGACAGCUGGCUUGCCUUCAGAACGGCGAGCUCACGGAACCGACACACCGACACACCGACACACACACACACACACACACACACACACACA